rnacentral:rRNA from 1 species
UACGAGUGCUCCAAGCGUUAUCCGGAAUCAUUGGGCGUAAAGGGUUUGUAGGCGGUCUUGUUAGUCUUCUGUCAAAACUUCUGGCUCAACCAGAAGUCUGCAGGGGAAACGGCAAGACUUGAGGAUGCGAGGGGUGAAUGGAACUCAUAGUGUAGGGGUGAAAUCCGUUGAUAUUAUGGGGAACACCAAAAGCGAAGGCAAUUCACUGGCGCACUCCUGACGCUGAAAAACGAAAGCGUGGGUAGCGAAUGGGAUUAGAUACCCCAGUAGU